UACGUAGGGGGCAAGCGUUGUCCGGAAUUAUUGGGCGUAAAGAGCGUGUAGGCGGUCCGGUAAGUCAGCUGUGAAAGUCAAGGGCUCAACCCUUGAAAGCCGGUUGAUACUGUCGGGCUAGAGUCCGGAAGAGGCGAGUGGAAUUCCCGGUGUAGCGGUGAAAUGCGCAGAUAUCGGGAAGAACACCCGUGGCGAAGGCGGUUCUCUGGGACGGUACUGACGCUGAGGCGCGAAAGCGUGGGGAGCAAACAGG
rnacentral:rRNA from 1 species